AUGUGAUCUACACACAGGUGAGGAGUAGUGACGUGACCUGGCCACGCCCCCAGCCGGUUUUUAAAGUGGAGCGCCAUAUUCCCGGUUCUCUCUCUCUCUCCUUCUCUCAUCUUGGAUAAUGUGGUCAGUAAUACUGGAGAGGAAACUGGAGCUGAUACCCAAAGAAGGAGCUGUCAGUCAUGUGACCAGUGGGGAAAAUAUUUUCUGAAAACAGCACGGUUCAGCUGAGAGCCAUUCCGAUAUGAGGACACAGAGGCUUCCAGUCUGAGGAAACAGGAUCAGCUGGGAAGUUGGAUGCAACAAAUGAUGAAGCCAGAAAUGGGGGCAUAGGCCUGUAAUUUCAGCGUUUGGAUGGUUGAAGCAGGAGGAUCACAAGUUCAAGGUUGACCCCUACUACAGAAUGAUUUCAAAGCCAACUUUAGUAAUUUAGUAAGGCUCUGUCUCAGACUCAUAAAUGAGCAAGGGCUGGGGGCAGAGCUCCAUGAUGGAGUGCUUUUUUAACAUUCAGGAAGGUCUGGGUUUAGUCUACUGUACUGCCCCAAACAAAACAAGACAGCAAUGGCCAAGUUAAAGGAAAGUUGGAGUGGAUCCAGCAAUACCAGGUGAAACAAACUGCAGAACAGAGAAUCGCCAGAGUUGGGCCUUACACAGUGUUAAAUGAGUUAAUCCAAAAGACAGCAAUCUUCAGUGUUCUACCAUCAAACAACGGAGCUCCAAAUGCUCAAAUAUGUGCGUAAGCAACUGAGUGAACUCAAAGGAGUAGCAGAGGAAGUUACCAUUGCCCCCGAAGUCUUCUCUAGCAAUUGCUUCAACAAUUAGAUAGACAAUUAGAAGGAUGUGCAAAAAGUCAAGAGCAUCACCAACCAACGUGAUCUCAUCAAUAUUUAUAGUCCUCUCUUUCAAACAUAGACUUCUCAAGUGCUCAUGGAAUACAGACCAACGUGGACCAUAUCCUGAUCCAUAAAACAAACUUAAGAGAUAGAAACAACAGUGUGUCUUCCAGCCAGGAAUCAAACUAGAAACCCAAAUAAUGACGAAAAUUUUAGCUUGAGUAGAGGCAGGAAAAGGGAAUAAAUGCAGUCAAAAAGUGUGAUGUCUUGAUUGUGAAACCUGACUCACAGGGUCAUGUGUUGAAGGUGUGGUUCCCUGCUGGUGGCACUGUGCUGGGUGGUGACAGAGACUGUAGGGGUGAGCCUAGCUGAAGGAUGUAGGCCACUGAGGUAAGUUCUUGGGGGAUGUCCCUUGUCCCAGCUUCUUCCUCUUGUCUGUCUCUGCUUCCUGGCCACCAGGGUGAGCUGCUUUGCUGUAUCGUUCUCCUACAGCCACACUAUUCCUCACCUCAGGCCUCUGACAGUGCCAUCAACUGACCACAGACUGAGACCUGUAAAACCAUGAACCCAGAUCCAUCUUUCCUCUUUAGGUUAUUUCUCUUGGAUAUUUGUCACAGUGAGGAAAAACCAAUAUAGAAAGGAAGAUAUCAAAUGGUCCCCAUCUUCAGAAGACACACAGGAAAGCUCACGGAACCUACCAACACAGCCAUCACACUAGUAAGUGAGUCAGCAAGGUUGCAGGAAAUAAGAUUCCAACAGCUUAUUCUGUCAUCACACACAUGGGCCAUUUGUGAGCGCUACUCACAUAGUGCAAACCCAACAAAACGUGCAUAGGACUUGUAUGCUGAAAAGCACAUGAUGUUUGUUGUGGUUUGAAUGUGAAAUGUUCCACAUAUGAUCAUGUUUGAACACUUUGUGCCCUGCUAGUGAUGCUCGAAAGGUUGUGGGACCUUUAGGAGGCGGAGCCUCCCUGGAGGAAGUCAGUCACCAGGGGUGGGCCAUGAGGCUUUUUAACUCGGCCCCAGUUUCUGCUCUCUCUGCUUCCUGAGUGUGGAUGCAGCAUGACUAGGCAGCCUCCUUCUCCUACCACUGGACUUCCCUGCCAUGGUAGACUGUAUUCCCCUGGAACUGUAAGCCAGAACCAACUCUCCCUUAAAAUGGUACUGGCAGCAAUGGGAAAGUAACUAAUACAAUGCUCAUGGAAGAAAUCAAAUGAAGUUUACAUAAUCACGGAGCCGUGUUACGUUUAUCACUGGAAAGCCUCAACAUGAUGAAGAUAUUAAUUUAAGAUUUCUUUACAAUCCUCAAAUGUAGGCACCAUUACCAUAAAGUUUACACAGAAAGGUAAAGGAACCAGAAAGUCAGAACAAGGCUGUAAAAGAACAAGUGUGAAGGAUUGGACAUUCUGGAUAUCCUGCAGUGGUCAGGACAGUACGGAUGGAGCCAGUGAGAAGGCUUACUGGGUAGACGGGCUUCCCACGCACGUGUGAGUUUGGUCCCUGGAACCCGUGGUAGACAGAGAGAACUGACUCCGUGAAGCUAUCCUCUGAUCUUCACCCAUGCGCCUUGGUGAGCACACCCCCACAUCACCCCACCCGAAAUAAUAAUACAUAAAAUACUUAAAGCAAACUAAAGACAAUGAUUUUAUGGAUAUUUGCCAGGUUAGAAAAGGAGCUUGUGGGUUUCUUUUUCUCAUUUGGAAAUUAUGAACUUAAAACAUCCUAGUUUAUCAUUGAUGGUUAUUUGAUAAAAUGCAGCACAAUGUUUAAAAAAUUAAAUAAAAAUGAAAAGUAAGGUGGUUACUUACUUUGUCAGAAUUUCUCUACAACUGUCUCUGGAUUGUGGACUGGCCCUGAGAGCAGAACCACUGAGGAGGAGCCAUUACUACAUUAUCAACUGUGUAUGACAGAACCCUGCUGUAUUAACCACAGUAGCACCACUGUGGUGAGGAGAGGCCACUGCCACAUUAUAUAGUGUAUACUGUAAUACAUUGCUGCAUUAAUCACAGUAUGGCAGAUCAGUGAAUCUCAGAAGAUGGAACACCAACCCCAGGCUAUCCCCGGGAUCUGCUCAGUGCCUCACUGUAUUAUUCAGGUUUCUCGUCGUUGUCAUCAAACACCUGACUGGAGCACUCAGUGGAUAAAUGUCUUGGGCUCACAGUUUUCAGGAACCAAGUCCCUCAUGGUGGGGAAGGCAUGGCCACGGGAAGCAGCAGCCUGCAGCAUGUUCACACCUCUGGGUCAGAAAACAGAACUCUCAGCUGGAGCCAGUUAUGGGUUCACUUUCAAGCCUUGUCCCCAGAGACCUGCCUCUGCUUGCUAGACCACAGUCCCAAAGGCUUCAUGAUCUCCCCAAAUAUAACAUAACCAUGUGACCACAUGCCUGAACCAUGACCUGUGGGAAACAUUCCCAACUCAAGCAAGAAGGAUCAAAAAGAUAAGGAAGAAAUUUACAAGGGAACAGAAACCAUGUCACAGCAAGACUGACACUUGUCACGGAUCAAGGCUCGAACCUUCUCUGUCGGCAGUCAUUAUGUGCCUGGUUAUUGCACACUUGAGUAGAAAAGAACACUGGUUUAUAAGUGCCCUUGGUGGAGCAGUAAAAAUCAUUAUUAAAAAAACCCCAGGCCUUGA